rnacentral:lncRNA from 1 species
UAAGCACCAAGUAUGCCAUCCAAAAUGGACAAAAAAGGGGAAAAAAGAAAAUUUGUUGAAGCCGAAGCAGCAGAGUGAUUUGGCUACUGAAAGACAAACAGCCUUGUGGAGAACCCUGUACUUUCCAGGCUGGCGUGAAGUAGCAGAAAGGCUUGUGAAUGCUAAUGCUAAUGCUAAUGAGGAGCUGUGAAACUGAUGGACUCCGCCCCCUGCACCUUGCAGCCAUCAAGGAUCAAAGAUGCACAACUCUACUCCAGAAAUUUCACCGAAUGAAGCUCUUUGAGAGAAUGCACACAGUGACA